rnacentral:tRNA from 1 species
GCCUGGGUGGCUCAGUCAGUUAAGUGUCUGAUUUUGGCUCAGGUCACGAUCCCAGGAUCAUGGGAUCAAGCCCCGCCUCAGGCU